rnacentral:rRNA from 1 species
GACGAACGCUGGCGGCGUGCUUAACACAUGCAAGUCGAACGGAAAGGCCCUGCUUUUGUGGGGUGCUCGAGUGGCGAACGGGUGAGUAACACGUGAGUAACCUGCCCUUGACUUUGGGAUAACUUCAGGAAACUGGGGCUAAUACCGGAUAGGAGCUCCUGCUGCAUGGUGGGGGUUGGAAAGUUUCGGCGGUUGGGGAUGGACUCGCGGCUUAUCAGCUUGUUGGUGGGGUAGUGGCUUACCAAGGCUUGGACGGGUAGCCGGCCUGGGAGGGUGACCGGCCACCUUGGGACUGAGAUACGGCCCAGACUCCUACGGGAGGCAGCAGUGGGGAAUAUUGCACAAUGGGCGGAAGCCUGAUGCAGCAACGCCGCGUGCGGGAUGACGGCCUUCGGGUUGUAAACCGCUUUCGCCUGUGACGAAGCGUGAGUGACGGUAAUGUGUAAAGAAGCACCGGCUAACUACGUG